GUGCUUGCUUUGGCAGCACAUAUAAUAAAAUCGGAACAAUGCAGAGAAGGAUUAACAUGGUGUCUGCAGAAGAAUGACUCCUAAAAUCAUGAAGCAUUCCAAAUUUUU